rnacentral:rRNA from 1 species
CCUACGGGAGGCAGCAGUGAGGAAUAUUGGUCAAUGGGCGAAAGCCUGAACCAGCCAAGUCGCGUGAAGGAUGAAGGAUCUAUGGUUUGUAAACUUCUUUUAUAUGGGAGUAAAGUGAGGAACGUGUUCCUGUUUGUAUGUACCAUAAGAAUAAGCAUCGGCUAACUCCGUGCCAGCAGCCGCGGUAAUACGGAGGAUGCGAGCGUUAUCCGGAUUUUUUGGGUUUAAAGGGUGCGUAGGUGGUAAAUUAAGUCAGCGGUGAAAGUCUGUGGCUCAACCAUAAAAUUGCCGUUGAAACUGGUUGACUUGAGUAUAGUAGAGGUAGGCGGAAUGCGUGGUGUAGCGGUGAAAUGCAUAGAUAUCACGCAGAACUCCGAUUGCGAAGGCAGCUUACUAAACUAUAACUGACACUGAAGCACGAAAGCGUGGGGAUCAAACAGGAUUAGAUACCCCAGUAGUC